AACGCUGCUGCUCUCAUAUGACAAAUUCAUUAUUAUAAGUGGAAGAUAGAAACCCAGCAGAGGAGAGGGAGAGUCCAUCUGCUUCCCACCCAGUGCUGCAUGGGGUGAGAGACCAGCUCUUUGACCUUGGAAUGCAAUGCUAACUACCCACAGAGCCUCGUCUUGCUCCUUUGUAAUGCCAGGGCUCUGUAUUGUCUCCGAUGUUGUUUAACAUCUACAUGAACCCGCUGGGAGAGAUCCUCAGGAGAUUCGGUGCAGGGUGUUAUCAAUAUGCUGAUGACACCCAAAUCUAUUUCUUCAACAUCAUCAGGAGAAGGCAUAACCUCCCUAAACGACUGCCUGGAGGCGGUAAUGGACUGGAUGAGGAAUAGCAAACAGAAGCUGAAUCCAGAUAAGAUGGAGCCACAGCUCCCUUAAGAAGUCCACUAUGCUGGGAAAAGUUGAAGGAAAAAGAAGAAGAGGACGACCAGCAGCAAUGUGGAUGGACUCAAUUACGACAACAAUGAAUGACCACUGAGAAGCCUUAAAGGCCAAGCUGAAGACAGAGCAUCCUGGAGAGAAUCUAUCUAUGUGGUGGCUAAGAGUCAACACCGACUUGAUGGCACUUAAUCAAUCAGUCAGUCAAUCAAUCAAUCAAUUAAACUGUGCUAAGUUGA